rnacentral:misc_RNA from 1 species
GAUGAAGAACGCAGCGAAAUGCGAUAAGUAAUGUGAAUUGCAGAAUUCAGUGAAUCAUCGAAUCUUUGAACGCACAUUGCGCCCAUUAGUAUUCUAGUGGGCAUGCCUGUUCGAGCGUCAUUAAGUCCACUUAAGCCCUGCUUAGUGUUGGGAGACUGCUCCAGCGGUGCUACCCUGUAGCUACCCUGCAGCUCCUCAAAGACAGCGGCGGAGUUGUGGUAUCCUCUGAGCUUAGUAACUUGUUCUAGCUUUCGAGUACACCACUUCCCCUGCCGUAAAACCCUUAAUUUUUAAUGGUUGACCUCGGAUCAGGUAGGAAUACCAGCUGAACUUAAGCAUAUCAAUAAGCGGAGGA